AGACAGUCCAAGGAGAGCGUGGGAGGACCGGCUAACGGAAGAAGGCAGCAAGACCCUAGAGAAAACAUAAGCCAUGGAGAAACUAAUGGAUUCCCCUGCUAAAAUUUCACUUUGAAAGUAAAGAUAAAAUGAAGACAUAGCAUGAAGGCUUUGACAUCUGAGAUCUUGCUGACCCUGGAGAGACUGUUCUCGCUAUGUCAACCAGUUCCCAGAAACAGUAAACACCUCAAAUGAGGAGAAGGAGCAAGAUAGGAGGAGAGGAAAGAAGAGGAGGAGGAACAGAGCAAACAUAUGCAUGCCUAUAAGUAAAUCUAACCAAUCAGGAACUGGAGCAAAUAUGCUACUAAAAUAAUUUCAUUCUUCAAGAAUUCACAUUUCGAUCUGUCAGAAUGUCUUGGAUGCUGGUGAAGAAAUAGUGCUACACAGUCAAGUGCAGUCCUUUUUGAAAUUGCAGAAGUCUCUCAAGCAUAUAAUUUGUGGCUUCCAGUGAGUUUGAACUUCAUGCUUGAAGUGAUGCACUAGUAGGUGAUUUAAUUCGUGCACCUGUGUCUGGAUUUCUUCCAGACACAAUGAAACGGGUAACUACUUCAGGAUUUACCUAAUAAGGAUUGCAGCGAGACAUCAGAAAGGCACUGAUUGGCAUAUGUGGGCAGGAAAAGGAACAACGAGCUUCCAGUAGAGCUGUGAUAGACACCUGGGUUCAGCCCUUGAGACAAAAACUGAGCAUUUCUCAGCUCCCAAGGCCAAGCCCUUUGGCUUCAAUGAUGUACAAUUUUCUCAUUACAAAUACUAUUGUACCCA
rnacentral:lncRNA from 1 species